rnacentral:misc_RNA from 1 species
GGUGAUGGUGAUGAUGGUGGUGAUGGUGAUGCCCAGUGCCAUGAAUUUGCUUCCCUUUAAGCUGUUUCCUCAUAUCGUAAGCAUCUUCACCAUCGGCGUAAUACUUCGCCUCAAUAUCAUGGAUCUUAUACCCCAAAGUCUCGGUAUAUAACUUGAAAGCAGCCCUGUUGCUCUUCCUCACAUGAAGGGAGACAUAUUCCGCUCCAUAAACCUGUUCCAUGGCAUUCUGAGCCGCGUUCAUGAGCUUAGUAGCUAAACCGAGCUUCCUAUGAGUACGAAGCACAGCAAGGG